GUGCCAGCAGCCGCGGUAAAACGUAGGGGACAAGCGUUAUCCGGAUUUACUGGGCGUAAAGCGCAUGUAGGUGGCUUGACAAGUUGGACGUGAAAGCUCCCGGCUUAACUGGGAGAGGUCGUUCAAAACUGGCAAGCUAGAGGUUGGAAGAGGAGAGCAGAAUUCCCGGUGUAGUGGUGGAAUGCGUAGAUAUCGGGAGGAAUACCAGUGGCGAAAGCGGCUCUCUGGUUCAAUACUGACACUGAGAUGCGAAAGCGUGGGGAGCGAACGGGAUUAGAUACCCCGGUAGUCC
rnacentral:rRNA from 1 species